UCAUUAUUGGUCCAGCCAACAUUUACUGGGCACUUGGCCCUCUGUGUGAGCUGGGGAUCUGGAAGAGCAAGACAAGUUCCCUGCUGAUAAAAUCUCACUGCAUUGUGAGGAAACCCGCCACGUUUAAAAAUACAGGUCUCCAUUGAUGAGGCACAGAGAGGUUAGGCAACUUGCCCAAGAUCACACGGCUAGGAAGGAGAAGAUCAGGGAAUUCCAAUCCAGGCGACCAUUUCAGGUUUGAAGUGGGAAGUCAGUGGUGCCUCCCUUCCGAGUGCAAGGGUCCAUUACAGGUGUGUGCUGGAGCUGGUUCCUGCGGACCCGUGAGAGCUGAUCGUGUGCAUCUCUUCCCAGCUCUGCUCAGUGACAUCACAUUGGCAGCUUGAAAUUGCCACGGUGGGAGAAUUUACCCCAUGGGAAUUGGCAAACCUUAUACAUCAAGGCUCCUUCCACCCCCACAUCACUCCCCCAAAUGAGUGAAUCUCCCCGUGCCUUGGGAAUCAUAAGAGUACUUCGCCUCUAGAUUACUCUGAAGAUAUAGUGAGAUGAAGCAAGUAAAGCACAAGGCAUUGCUUGUAUGUUUUUUUAAAUAAAUGAUACAUACUGAGAGUUGAAAACAAACA